ensembl:misc_RNA Y_RNA Y RNA
GGCUAAUCUGAUGGUAGUGAGCCUUCAGAACUUAUUAACACUAGUGUCAUAAAGUUGGUAUACCAUCCGCCUCACUCACUGUUAAAUUUGACUGGCCCUAA